rnacentral:rRNA from 1 species
UACAGAGGUCUCAAGCGUUGUUCGGAUUCAUUGGGCGUAAAGGGUGCGUAGGCGGCGCGGUAAGUCGGAUGUGAAAUCUCGGAGCUUAACUUCGAAACUGCAUUCGAUACUGCCGUGCUUGAGGACUGGAGAGGAGACUGGAAUUUACGGUGUAGCGGUGAAAUGCGUAGAUAUCAUGAGGAAGACCAGUGGCGAAGGCGGGUCUCUGGACAGUUCCUGACACUGAGACACGAAGGCCAGGGGAGCAAACGGG